rnacentral:lncRNA from 1 species
GAUGUGAUAUGUACGGUAUGGAAUGUAAGACCAGUGGGACCCAUUCUACGUUCGCUGGCACUAUGUAAGGGAAAGACCAGGACCCAUUCUACGUUCUGGCACAGUUAGACCAUGUAGAGGGCUAUUGGUGACAAGUUCAUCCUUGAUGUGAUUAGAUGUGAUGUGAUGCAUUCCAUGAUCCAUAUGAUUUAAAUGUUUUUAUUAUUCU